GCAUGUGAGGGCGAUCUGGCUGCGACAUCUGUCACCCUAUUGAUCGCCAGGGUUGAUUCAGCUGAUCUGGCUGGCUAGGCGGGUGUCCCCUUCCUCCCUCACUGCUCCAUGUGCGUCCCUCCCGAAGCUGUGUGUUCAGUCGAAGAGGACGGCCUUCCCCAAAUAGACGGACCGGUCUUCGGUUGAGGGUAUACGAGUAGCUGCGCUCCCCUGCUAGAAGCUCCAAACAAGCUCUCAAGAACACAGCUUGCACAGUUGGGUUGAAGACAAUCCCUAUCUUCCAUCUUUACCUACCUUUAGAAGCAGAACAGGU
ensembl:misc_RNA 7SK 7SK RNA